rnacentral:lncRNA from 10 species
GUUCUAAUAAAAACACAGUCAAUUUUUUUUAAACAAAGGGCACUAUAGGUUAUCCAUUGCAAUGAUAAAUCUAGAAGGUCAGGCUGGGAGGUUAUUGUUUUGUCAAAUCUUUGGGAUUUGACCCUAACAUGUUCCCACUUCUGUGUUGAAAUCAGUUAUACCCAAAUCUUUUUGAUCAGUCACUGACAUUUAUUGAGCACCUACUAAUCGUUGGGCCUUGGUUUAGCCUGAAAUUGUGUGAAAGUCAAAGAGUGCAUGACUUUUAGAAUUGCUCAUCAACAGGUACAAUUUCAUAGUCAGUCCCAGGGUUUCACAGGUGUCUGAACAACUCUGGGACCACUCAUAUCUCUGAGCAUAAUUGUCUGCUCUCUGAGCUGGCACUGCAUCCCAGAUGAUGGCUCUCCUUGAUUUUUCCAUGCAGGCAUCCAGGAGCAGAGCUGUGGGGCAGCAGAAUCUGUGAUGACAGAGAAUGAUGAUGUAUUUUUGCCAGCAGAUGCUUUUGCUCCUGUUUUGAUACCCCAAUAUUCGGAUGCAGAAAAGGACUCUGAGCAUUGCUGACGGGUGUGCUCUGCACACCUAUCUCUUCAGGAUCUGAAUAAUUUGGUGGAAAGACAAUGCCUUUUCUGGAAAAGGGUGUCAGUCUCCACAAAGAACAAUGUUCUUCCCAACCUGCCAAGACAGCCAAAUAACAAAAGAAAUACCCGUGGAGCCCACCUGAAGUGCACAGAUCUGGGGACAUUGGGAGGAACAGAGGUAGCUUAGUGACUCUACUGUCCCUACCACCCAACCUGCUAUUAGCCCUGCUGGUCCGCUCGUGUUUGAGGUCAUGAGUCAGGUUCAAAUAGCCAUGACUGGCAGAAGAUGUCAAUCACAUUUCAUUUCCAUUUUCACUUUGCUGUUUACAUUCUUUAAAUUAAUGCUUGCCCCAAUGAUUGUGAUAUUUAAAGACCAGCCUAGAAUCUAAUUGUGUAUAUGUGAAACUGUUUUCUAAACCAUAAGAUGUUAUAUAAAUACAAACCACUAUUAUUAUUAACAUUAUUACUAUUGGCUCAUCCGGAAAUACCAUAUCUUCCAUUGAGCCAAUGGUGUCAAGAGCCCCCUAGAAUUCUAAUAUAUAUUCCAGAUGGGUGCACUGAUAAUUUCUUUCAAACUCAGAUAAAGGUAAAAUGCAUGGGUUUUUAGUGCAAGCCAGGUGCCCGACGAAGAAUAUUCUGCCAGAACACUUUAGAAAUACAGUAUGCUUUUAACCUUGGGAGGUAAGGACCAGUGUGGAUUAUGACUUUACACUAAACACAGCAUUUAGUAUAUUUCUUAAGGGCAUAAUCACCUUCUAUAGAUGUUCUUGAACUAUAAAAUCUUUAUCUGUAUGCUAUCAUAAUUUAUCCUCGGACACAUCCUGUGCAAUAUUUUAUAAUGCUAGUGUAUGGUGGGCCUUUCUGGUCAAUGCAUUGGAGAACAAGGUGUGGAGUGCAACAGAAGGGCUGGAAGCGGCUUGGGGAUGCUCUGGCCUCACCCUCUUUUGCGUCAUAGCUGCACUCAUACGCAGACCCUGACCCAGGACCCAGGUCGGCUGACUUCUAAUUCAGAUCAUUUGCUGCCAGAAUUCUGCCUGUGAGUGAGAACAGCAUGAGGAUAUGAGCUUCUUGAGUCAGUCCACCUGCCCAAGUCCCAGCUCUGACCCUCUUUAGAGCUCUGAUCUCAGACCAGUUACUCCAUACCUCAAUGUCCUACGAUCUACUGUGAUCCCUACUGGACCAAGGACACCAAAUUUCGGAGAUGCUUUGGGAUUAUGUGACAUAACCAGGGGGCUGCAGGCUGACAGCCUGAGGACCAACUACUGUCCCCAGUGUGCUGAGCUUGGCACCACCCUGCUGAUACACAGGAUUUCACAUGUGGGACAAUCUUUAAGUCUGAAGAUUGUCCAUACAAAUAUGGAUUUCUAACUUCUAAUUAAAAAUCUUGUAGAGGACUGAGUCUUCAUUCCAAAAGGGUGCCAUUCUCCUGGGGCAGGAGCUUAUCAGCUGCUCAAAUGCCCCACUGCUGCCUACUGUACCCCCAUAUAUAGGGCAGACACCCCAUGUUUGCAUUUCUGGCCCUGGAACCAGUGACACUCAAGUGUACCAUCCCCGAAAUAAAGAUUUUAAGGCAUGGGAUAUCCCUCCACAAAUGCCUACUCACAUUGAGUGGGUAGAGAGGUUAAGAGUUAACCACACAGGUCUUAAAGCCACAUUGUUGGGUCUGAACCUAGGUAUUUGGCAAAUUAUCUAACUUCAGUUUUCUCACCAAUAAAAUGAGAAUUAGAGUACCUAUCUAAUAGGUUGUUGUGAGAAUUGACUGAAAAUGUGAAAAGCACUUAAAAGAAUUCCUGGUGAGCUCUUUCUAAAUGCUACCCAUGAUUAUUGCCUUGGCUUUGAAGAGUCAGAGCAAUGAGAGUUCUCUGCUGCUGGGUCCUUCUCCACACCAGUCUGCCACAUUUGGACAUGGUGUAAUUCACAUGGGUCCAUACUCUCUCUCCUUCCCCAAGCAAUUGAGCCGCUAACCAACACUUAGAAUGGGGUGAGCAUUCCCACCCCCACCUGACCCCUAGCCUUGCAUCUCAUUCAACUGUCACCUUUGUCCCUUGUUUCAUAUGGCCCCAAUGAAGUGCUCAAGUCAAAUAAUUAGGUUUUGCCAAAUGUCAUAAAAACAAGAAAAGCCAGAAAACGUUUAAACGGACCUCAAUUGGAGAAGGCUGGAACCAUUCAGGGCAAGAACAAAUGAAAGACAGAUGGGGACAGAGGAACCCCACUGUUUCCUCUAAAUUACAGGAAAUUCACGCCGUCUGAUUGUGAGGGCCUCUUUUCUUUCCCUUGAAUUUCUGCUGGGAGGUCAUGGGAUUGAUCGGCGUGUGCAGACACAUGGGAGACAGAAGAAGGGGCAGAGGCAUGGCGGGGUAGAGAGGCAGUGACUCCUUCACCAGGCUCUCCCACCAUGUCUUCCUUUCACCUGACUACUUGACCACCCUUGAAGGGACAGCCUAGGCUGCCUCCUCCAGGGGGCCUUCCCAGAUGAUUAUGACAAGAUCAAUUCUCUCCUUUCUUUAAAAAAUCCCCUGGCACUUCUGAUCUCAUGCCUUGCAUUAUUAUAAUUUGUGUUCAAUUCUAAUGUGUUCUACUCCCCCAGCUAGGCUUAUAAGCUCCUCUGUUGGAGUUCACAUAUCACUGAGUCUCUCACAAUGCUGGGCCCUGAAAAGUUCCCAAUAAAUAGCUCCGAGCAGCUACAGAGGCGAUGUUGCAAAGGGGAGAAGCACAGCUUAGUGAUCAGGAGCCCCGGGGUUCUAGGCCUGCCUUGGAUCAACUGUGUGGCCUUGGCAAGACACUUCCCUUUCCUGGGGGGAUGAGCAUUAGUUAAGUAUGAGACCCUUCUGGCUCUGAUUUGUAAUGACUCUGAGUUUAAUGUCGGGCAUACCUUUUUCUUGUUCUUUUCUUUAAAAUCUUUUUAAAGAUGCACAAUAAGAGAGAACCACAAGCCUAGCCAGAGAAAUUAGAUAAUUGCAUUAAAUACGAAUAUACGAACUCAUAAGUUACAUAAAUGCAACAGUACAAAAGAUGUUGCAUGAGAAUGUCAAGGGAGGGCUACAUGAAAUGUCUUAGACAAUAAGUUAAGUCCUAGAGAGAGAAUUGUUCAGGAAAAAAAAAAAAAAAGAAAGGAAGAAAAAGAAGACGACUUGAAACAAGAAUAGGAUGAAUAGAGAGGUCCCGUAUAUCCCCAGAUGGAGCACAGGGCCUGGCACUCAGGGGGCACUUGACCCAUGAUGCUGAACAGACUAAGGAGUGGCAGUAGAGGGUGGGAAGGGCAUGCCAGGUGGAGGACACAGUUUGAACCAAGGCAAGGUGGUUGGAAAAUACUAAACUGUAUAAACUGUAAGAAAGUCAAUUUGGCUAGAGCAGGAAAAUGUGUUUGAGGGCACAGUUGGAGGUAUAAAGGGCAGAGAGUGUAAGCGUUUACAUUCCAAAUGAUAGAAUUUGCACAAUAUUUAGUAAUAAUCUGAAGCCUCUGGGAAAGCUAUUUUUCUUCUGAUUUAAAUACUGAAGUUCAAAGAGGAUAGUGGGUGGGCUUUGCAUCUUGCAAAAGUCUAUCAGAAACUGCCUAGCUCGCUCAGCCCACUUUCCUUUCCAAGGUAAGAAACACACAUUCAUGCAUGGAAAUAAAGCAGGGAGGCCCUUGGCAACUGUCCAGUUCCAUUGAAGUUCUCAUUUUUCUUUUUUUUCUGGAGAGCUUAUUCAACAGGAAAAUAAAGUUAUCUAAUGCCUCAGAAAGGGGUCCCGUGAAACUCACAAGGCCUAUUCCUCACAGCCCAGCCAGGUAAAUUUACCCUGAUUUCAGGAUGGCUAUUUCUUGUCUUCAACUACUCCAGCUGAUCCCAUCCCCUCUACAGAGAACUGGAAGGAAACCCGUCAGGGUUUGACUUUUACAUGAAAACUGACUGCAAUCCAUAUUUUCAAAAAAUCAUUUUCAACAAAACCAGUGCUUUAAAAUAGAUUCACUGAGAAGAAAAUGUUUCCCCAAUCCUCUCCUCCUUGAUUUUGUUGAAUCAAUAACAUUUCAAGAUGUUCUCUGUGAAAAUCACAUGGGUGAGUUAAAUAAGAACAUACAUUACAUUAUCUAGAUCCUCAACUUGCAGCCCUUAGCGCAGUAUGCCUGAGAAAAGUUUAAAAACUCAAAAGAGAGAAAUCCUAUUCAAAGAGUAAAAUACUGCCUAUGCUUCCAAAGUUCUUUACGGCCUGAUAGGUAGAAAUUUAAUAAUGAAGGGCUGGGAAUGGUGGCUCACAUUUGUAAUCCCAGCACUUUGGGAGGCUGAGGCAGGUGGAUAUCUUGAGGUCAGUUCAAGAUCAGCCUGGCCAAUAUGGCAAAACCCCGUCUCUAAAAAUACAAAAAUUAGCUGGGCAUGGUGGCAUAUGCCUGUAGUCCCAGCUACUUGGUAGGCUGAGGCAGGAGAAUCACUUGAACCUGGGAGGCAGAGGUUGCAGUGAGCUAAGAUCGCACAACUGCACUCCAGCCUGGAUGACACAGUGAGACACUGUUUAAAAAAAAAAAAAAAGGAAGAAAAUUUAAUAAUGAAAAACAUAAACAAAUAAGUGAGUCAUCCUGAGACAUAUUUCAAUUCUCCCCUUCUGUAACCUCAAUAAAUUCAUUUUCUCCCACAUAAGCUAAUGUUUGCACUAAAUAUUCUGUACAAAGGAAUACCGCAGACCAUAAAAAAAACAGUAAAAAGAUAUAGCUGUGUCUUUUUUAAAAAACGGUUGAAAAAUUGGGUAUGUGUGGACAAAAUAAUUUUUAAAAAUAGUUUUGCUUGCACAUUUGAUUUCUCUCUUCAUUUAUGAUGCCCUAGUUGAUGAGCUGAUCAACUUUUCUGUGAAAAGUCUUCCUAAAAAACAGAACAAAACUUAACAGAAACUCUGAUCCUGUUUGUCAAAAUGUAGUUCUGGCCCCGAGAGAAAGGCAAUAUUCUUUGGAUGACUUGGAUUCUAAAGCAACUCUUUUAUUAGUAUUAUUAUUUACUUUUUUUUUUUGAGACGGAGUCUCGCUCUGUCACCCAGGCUCCCAGGCUGGAAUGCAGUGGUGCAAUCUUGGCUCACUGCAACCUCUACCUCCCAGUUCAAGCAACUCUAGUGUCUCAGCCUCCAAAGUAGCUGAGAUUAUAGGCACCUGACUAAUGUUUGUAUUUUUAGUAGAGACGGGGUUUCACCGUGUUGGCCAGGCUGGUCUCAAACUCCUAACCUCAAGUGAUCUGCCCGCCUCAGCCUCCCAAAGUUCUGGGGUUACAGACGUGAGCCACUGCACCCAGCCUGGAUUCUAGAGUAACUCUUGAUGAAAGAACAUCAUACUAAGGUGAUUUUUAUAUAAAACAUUAAUUCAGUAUAUCAAUCAGUCACUUUAAUAAAAAUGCCCCUCAUUAUCCUGAGGUGAAUAGAAGCCUAUGGGAUUAAUUUGUGUAAAUAGAUAUUAGAUUAAAAUGGGAACUUGCCACAUAACAAUAAUCAGAUAGCAUAGGCAAUCCAAUCUCAGUGCUGAAUCCAGUAUUGUGUGUGUAGUUACCUUUUAAAAACAGUAACAUGUAUUUAACUUGGACUUGCUUCAAGUAAGCACUGCAUCAGGCAAGUUGGAUUUCAAAUAAACCUUAGCAAUUGAGGGGCAUUGUCGUACUGGAAGUAUAUCUCUUCAAACAACAGCAACAACAGUUUUAGAUAUUUAUUUUAGAGAAAUAAAGGAGACAAUCUGCAAGAGAAAAGGCAGAAAGUGAGGAGGAGGAGAGUACCUAGAAUCCAGGUAGAGGGUUUAUUUCUAGAAAAGCAGCGCCACCUGCUGGUGGACCUGCAUGUCAGGCCCUUCUGCGGCUUGCAGGCCAUCUGUCUUGCAAUCUAUGCAUAAAUACACAGCAGUAUUUCUCAGCUGCUGUUAUACGUAAGAAUUGUAUUACCAGUAGGCAGAUUUCUAACACACUGGUUGUAGUUUAAUAAUCCUAUAUUACCUGAAGUAUGGGUUAUAUAAAAACCUAGAAUGUUAAUUGUUGACAAACCAAUUCUAAUAUGUAAAGCACUGUAAGUCACCCAGUAAAUACACAAGUAAAUCAAAAGGGAUAGCUCUUUUUGCUCUAACAACGUGUUAUUAAAAGCCACAACUUAAUCACUUACAUAAAAAUAAUGUUCAUGAAUUUCGAUGUACUAAGAAAUCAGGAAAAUGCAUUAUAAUCUUACUAACAGAGCUUUUCCUUCACUUACAAUUUAGAGGAAACUAUUUUGCAGAAAAUAUUUUUCCCUUUCUUUAAAAAAUGUACCUAAACCAACAUGCCAUUUAGGAAAUUUGCUCCUAUAACAAAACCUAGUUACAAACAACUAAGAUUACAUCUAUAAAAUGUUAUAUUUUUAAAAUAGCAAUAGAGAAGUUGUGGAAAAUAUGUCACUGAUACAGUGAGCAGAGAAACACUACCUGUCAUUUUUCAGGAAAAGAUCACACAAACGCGAUAGCAAAGGAACACAAUAAAAAGCAGAAACAGGAAUGUGAUAGGUGACUCUGAUUGCAUCUGCAAAGGAAACUGUGAAAUAAAUUAACACCCAAGUACCCAAGAAAGGCACAUUGUGGCUUCACUGGAAGUGAUCAUUAUGCAACAGAGAAGGUUGGUGAUUUUGUAAGAACAGAAAUAAAGUGUAGCCUGUGAAAUCUAGUGGUGAUAACUAAUGACCAUACUACUUACAACUCUGAUUUGAUCUCUAACAUAAAAAAAUAAAAUAAAAAAGUACUCUAAAGAAUAGAUGUAUGCAAUAGGGAUUGUGUUUCUCACUUGAAACAAAUAAACCUCAAAUGGGAUCAAAGGGCCCCGGUAAAUGAAAAAUGACAGUUCCUAUGUUGCCCUGAUUUGAUCUCAAGCAAAACUACCAUGCUGAUAACAUAGCAGGGGAUGUGAGGAAGGCAGUGGAGUUCUUGGAUUGCUAUGAAAAGGAGGCGAGUGUGUAGCCCAUUCAGCUGAUGGGAAGCCCAUUCUAAUUCCAAAAAGUUAUUGAGAUUUAAUCUCUAACAACAACAACAACAACAAAAUAACUCAUGCGGCAACCAAAAGGGUAUCCUUUAAAAACACACAUACACAAUUUUGUUAUUUCCAAUACAUUCUGUAGAAUCUCUUUACAUUCAAUUCUUCCAUCUGUCUAAGCUGGGUAAGGCACAUGUGUGAAGAGAACCAAAUGUCACAAUGCUUGCUUUGAGAACGAAGUGUCUCCAGUUAUCCAGACAGGGAGCUUGACUAGGAGGGUCUCAGGCAUAGGCCAUGGGCAUCCCAUCUCCCAUCUCAGCUGGCUACCACUCACUCUGGAGAGACAGGGUUUCCAGGAGCAAUUCUGGACAGAUGCAAAGGGUGAAGGGGAAUCUGGUGGGGUUCAGGGCUGUCAAGAUUCGAGUUGGGGGCUUACCCUGCCUAGAUAUAACUCCUAGUGUUAGCUUGUGUAUUAGUCCAGUGAGAUAAGGUCUAGGCCAUUGGCUAGGGUCUGAACAAUUAAAGGUGCACACCCUGCCUUAAAUAUCCAAAUUUAUUUGGGAUAAAUUCAAAUCAAUAAGGAAACAUAGGUGGAUGAACAGAAGCAAUGGGUUUGCCAUGGCUUCCUACCCCGACUCAAAUACCCAAUGACAUAUGGAAGGAGAAAACAUCAGCACCCCCAGAUCCACUACAGAGCCCACCAUGUGCUGUCAGCAGAAACAACGGAACAAAUGUGUUACCUUCAGAAGAAGCAGUGAUCAAUUUGAGAUCAAUCUAUUCAAGAGUUGUCCAGCAGUCAAAGGAAUUGGCUGUUGGCUGUUCAGAAACAAAGGUUCUGUUCAAGAAGGUAUAAAGGAACAAGAAGGAAGAAAGGAAGAUCUCUAGCCUUGAGACUUUUUUUUUUUUUUUUGCCUCUGGUUCAGCUUCUCAUGAAAGACCUUUUUCCUUGAGAUACAUGCUUAAUAAACUAUGGAAACAUAUUGUCAACAGAGUUUACAUGUUAAUCAGCCAUUUAUUGAAUUCACACUGUGUGUCUUGGUUACUGUGUGCAAUAUGCUAAGAAUUCAAAGACCAAUUUUGACUUCUACAAAAACCUCAACAUAAAAACUGUCUAAUGGGGUUUACAUGAAAUGUUACAGGCUUACAGAAAAGAGAUUCACUUUUUCUAAUUUGGUUUCCGGGUGGGCUAGUUAAGAAGGCUUCACAGAGAUGGCA